rnacentral:rRNA from 1 species
AACUUUCAACAAUGAAUCUCUUGAUUCUGACAUUGAUGAAGAAUACAGUAAAAUGUAAGAAUAAGUACUCACAGGCGAUUAUUCAGAUGUUUGCAGCUUGGUGUGAUAUGUACUGUUAACUACUAGAAGUAUUUGUGAUAGAAAGAUA